AACGCUGGCGGCGCGCUUAACACAUGCAAGUCGAGCGAGAACCGGGGCUUCGGCCCCGGGGACAGCGGCGAACGGGUGAGUAACACGUGGGUAAUCUGCCCUCGGUCCCGGGAUAGCCCGGGGAAACUCGGAUUAAUACCGGAUAGCCUCACGAGCCUUCGGGCGCGUGAGAAAAGGUAGCUUCGGCCUCUGACCGAGGAUGACCCCGGGGUGGAUUAGCUUGCUGGCGGGGUAAUGGCCCACCAAGGCGACGAUCCAUGGCUGGUCUGAGAGGACGAUCAGCCACACUGGGACUGAGACACGGCCCAGACUCCUACGGGAGGCAGCAGUGGGGAAUCUUGCGCAAUGGGCGAAAGCCUGACGCAGCGACGCCGCGUGGGGGAAGAAGGCCUUAGGGUUGUAAACCUCUUUCAGGUGGGACGAAGCCACUCGGGUGAAUAGCCCAGAGGGUGACGGUACCGCCAGAAGAAGCCCCGGCUAACUACGUGCCAGCAGCCGCCGUAAUAC
rnacentral:rRNA from 1 species